AUAUCCAUACAUCCAUAUUUAUAGGACUGAAGAGAUUAACUCGACUGAAGUUGAAUGAUAAUAGAAUUCAAACUAUUGAACCUGGAGCCUUUAAUCCGCUUACCAGUAUCACCAAGAUUGAUCUGAUGAACAAUCCAUUUGACUGCGACUGUAG